UGCUUACACAUGCAAGUCGAACGGUAGCAGGCCUUCGGGUGCUGACGAGUGGCGGACGGGUGAGUAACGCGUAGGAAUCUGCCCUGUAGUGGGGGACAACGUGGGGAAACUCACGCUAAUACCGCAUACGCCCUGAGGGGGAAAGCGGGGGACCUUCGGGCCUCGCGCUAUGGGAUGAGCCUGCGUGGGAUUAGCUAGUUGGUAGGGUAAAGGCCUACCAAGGCGACGAUCCCUAGCCGGCCUGAGAGGGUGGCCGGCCACACUGGGACUGAGACACGGCCCAGACUCCUACGGGAGGCAGCAGUGGGGAAUAUUGGACAAUGGGCGCAAGCCUGAUCCAGCAAUGCCGCGUGUGUGAAGAAGGCCUGAGGGUUGUAAAGCACUUUCAGUGGGGAGGAAAAAGCGAAGGUUAAUACCCUUGGUCUUGACAUUACCCAGAGAAGAAGCACCGGCUAACUCCGUGCCAGCAGCCGCGGUAAUACGGAGGGUGCGAGCGUUAAUCGGAAUUACUGGGCGUAAAGCGUGCGUAGGCGGCUAUUUAAGUCAGAUGCGAAAGCCCCGGGCUUAACCUGGGAACGGCAUUUGAUACAGGGUAGCUAGAGUUUGGUAGAGGGGAGUGGAAUUUCAGGUGUAGCGGUGAAAUGCGUAGAGAUCUGAAGGAACACCAGUGGCGAAGGCGGCUCCCUGGACCAGAACUGACGCUGAGGCACGAAAGCGUGGGUAGCAAACAGGAUUAGAUACCCUGGUAGUCCACGCCGUAAACGAUGCCGACUAGCCGUUGGGUCUUUAAGGAGGCUUGGUGGCGCAGCUAACGCAAUAAGUCGGCCGCCUGGGGAGUACGGCCGCAAGGUUAAAACUCAAAUGAAUUGACGG
rnacentral:rRNA from 1 species